CCCUCGGUCGUCUAGUUGGUUUAUGGCGUCCGGCUGUAAUUGUUCAGUCUCACCGGAAUGGUAUGUUUAACCCUAUAAAUUGCUCUCAGACAUCUGCUAACAGAUGACACAGUCGCGCGUUCGACUCGCGCCUGAGGGA